AUUGAACGCUGGCGGCAUGCCUUACACAUGCAAGUCGAACGGUAACAGCACUUCGGUGGCUGACGAGUGGCGAACGGGUGAGUAAUACAUCGGAACGUGCCCGAGAGUGGGGGAUAACGCAGCGAAAGCUGUGCUAAUACCGCAUACGAUCUACGGAUGAAAGCAGGGGACCGCAAGGCCUUGCGCUCAUGGAGCGGCCGAUGGCAGAUUAGGUAGUUGGUGGGAUAAAAGCUUACCAAGCCGACGAUCUGUAGCUGGUCUGAGAGGACGACCAGCCACACUGGGACUGAGACACGGCCCAGACUCCUACGGGAGGCAGCAGUGGGGAAUUUUGGACAAUGGGCGAAAGCCUGAUCCAGCCAUGCCGCGUGCAGGAUGAAGGCCUUCGGGUUGUAACUGCUUUGUACGAACGAAAGGUCUUUUCUAAUAAAGAAGGCUACAUGACGGUACCGUAAGAAUAAGCACCGGCUAACUACGU
rnacentral:rRNA from 1 species